AGAAAAGCCCUCCCAUUAUCUUUCUCCCCCACUCUCAACUCCGGCGAUGCUCCUCUUCUCCCGCCGCCCCUUCCCUUCACCCCGCCUCCCCAUCCGCCGCCUCUUACGAUGCCGCUGCACCUAUUCCCCCGUCUCCUCCGCCCCGUACCACGAAUCCUUCGCCCGUCGCAUGGCCCUCGCUGGCAUCCACCCCCACCACCGCAUUGCGGUUGGGGUCUCCGGCGGGCCGGACUCCAUGGCGCUCUGCGUGCUCGCGGCGGCUUGGAAGAAGGCGGUGGAGAGGAAGUCCGAGGACAAGGGAUCCGUCGCCCCGGGGUUCGUGGAAGGGCUCCUCGGGGUCGUGGUUGACCAUGGGCUGCGGCUAGAGAGCGCCCAGGAGGCGCAGCUAGUGCGUGACCGGGUGCACGCAAUGGGUGUCAUGUGUGAGAUUGCUACAUGUGAGUGGCCAAAUGGGCGGCCAAAUCUAGGGCAUCUGCAAGAGGCCGCCCGUGAAAUGAGGUACCAAAAACUAUUGGACAUUUGUAUAAAGCAACAAAUAGGAGUCUUACUUAUUGCACAUCACUCUGAUGACCAGGCAGAGCUCUUUGUUUUGAGAUUAUCUCGCAACAGCGGAGUUUUGGGUCUUGCUGGCACAGCCUUUGCCUCCCAAUUGUUUGCACCUAAUUUGAAAUAUGAUGGACAUAAUUUUUGUCGUUACGGAAUCCUUCUUGUUCGGCCCAUGCUCGAAUUUUCGAAAAAUGACAUGUAUAAGAUAUGUCAAGGAAGUAAUCAUUUGUGGGUUGAAGAUCCAACAAAUAAUAGUAUGCAGUAUGCUAGGAACCGAAUUCGGGCAUCUUUGAGAUGUUUAUCCCCAGAUGGUGCCUUUCAAUCAGAACUUCAGAAACUGAUCUAUGCAUGCCGGUUGACACGAGUGUGUGUCAGCAAUGCCUGCAAUAUGGCCAUCAAGCAGUCUGUCACAAUAACCGAGUACGGGUACGCUGUCAUUGACCUUAAAAAACUUGACCCACAAAAUGUUGAUGAUCUUUCUCUUUCACAAUAUUUGGCAUGCGUAUUACAGUUUGUUUCACAGAGGCACAGGCCGAUCCGUGGAAGAGCUACUCGAUUGUUCAUGGACUACAUUCGUAAUACACCUUGCAAGGGUGCCCUUACUGUAGCUGGUUGUUACAUUUGCACUUUUCCAAGGUCUAAAAGUACAAAAAUACUAGUCUGUUGCUCUGCUGACUUGCUGGAGUCAUUUUCUGGUGAGAUGUCCUACAAGUGUUCCUAUGAAGAACAGCCACCACCGGUACCUGAAAUUGAUCAUGUAGCACUUGAAGCACGCUUAUACUCUAACCAAUUUCUACAGUGCUCAAGCAUACCUUUUUUGAGUCAUGAAUCCUCUACUGAUGUUCUGAAUAGAGCAAAGGAUCUCAAUAUUAUAGGUGAUUUUUCGUUAGAAAAGCUCCUCAACCUGCAAACAGAAGAACAUCAGAAAUUUAUAAGAACAACAGAACAUAAAUAUGAGGAGCAAUACUUGGAGAAAACAAGCUUUCCUGAUGUGAAAGUUCUUUGUCUCUGGCCUGGCGAAACAUGUCACUUUAUGAGCAGGUUCUUGAUUACAUGGAAUACUUUGGAAUCUGUUCCAAAUGGAAUAUGUUCAUAUGACAGUCAAAAAGGGAUAUGCCAGCAUUGUGCAGUGAAUCAAGAUGGAAGUCUCGCAGUUCGUCACAUGUUUGAUACCGAUUGGUUGUUCCUUGCUGAAGUUUCUAGAAUUGGCUCAGUGGAGGAGAACCAGAAUGUCUCAAAAGUUUCCAGUGAGAAAUUAAAGGACGAUGAGCUCCUGAAUCACUCUAAUUAUUUGCAAUUAUCAGCAACGGAAGCUCUUGAGGUCCUGAGAUCUAUUCCAGCUUCUGCAAGACGAACACUGCCAGUGCUGACCAAUUCUCAAGGUGACAUAUUGAGCAUACCAAGUGUUGGCUUCCGGUGCUGUCCUAGCCUAUCAAUCGAAGCCGUAUUUCAUCCAAGAGUACCACUUGGUGGGGGAUACACUUCAUAUUUAUGAUGGCUCGAUCUUUAUUUGUGGCAAAAAAGAAAUGUCAAGCACAGUGAGAUAUAUAACUGCCGGUGCUAAAUGACUACUGUCUGAACCUUGGCAGUUGGCACUGAGAAUGCUAAAUGUUUAGUUUUCGGACGCCACAAUAUUGUGCAAACGGAUGUGGAACUUGCUAAAGAGCAAAUGCCUGUUGAUAUGCCACAGGAAGGCCAUCUUUUGCUCGAUGGUUGUAACUUGUGCAUGGCAUCAAGAUUAGGUACAAACACAUGCUGACAAGUCUUCCCAAAAAACUUUGCUACGCCUUUUCCUGGCCAGAAGGUGUUUGGGAAAGCUUCUAAAUCUAGGGUUCAAUGCCCACAAAAAUCCCCGGAUAGUAAAGAACUGAUUGUAGGGAAAGCUAGGAUUUCACUUGAUGUUGAAUCAAUCAUCAGAAUAAGUAUUAGGCCAAAAAUUAGGAUACAUUCAGGAUGAUAUCCGGUUGCGGUGAUGAACAAUCAGAGGUCAGGUAUCUGUGGGGCAAGGCUUGUGGUUGUGGAUGCUAGGUGUUCGGGAUGAGGCCGCAAUGAAGUCAGGGCAUCUGGCUUUGCGAACUGGCAGGUGGCGUACAGGCCAGUCAAAUGUCAAGAUAAUUGGAAAAGGUUAAGCUAUGAAAAAUUGCUGAGUUAUUAGCCAUAAUUUACUCUACUAAAAUGUGGUCACCAAAACAGCUGCAGUUUUCUGCUUUUGUUAAAUAAUACAUUUUUAUUAAUUUCCAGGAAUAUGACGUGUUUUUGAAUUUUUUUUGAAAUUAGGAUCCAAUCGGUCAUGUUGUGGCCGAUUGGGCCCAAACGGCCGAGUUGUGGCCGACCACGGAAGUCCCAUCAAUAGGCCUGUAACUUGAUGGCAGUGGACCACAUGUAGCUCUGGCUUAGGACCUACUACCUUGCAAUGCACUACUAUGUGUAGCGCUCUCUGGUGAUGGGUUGGUGGUGAUGCAUGCAUAACGAUGAUGAUGGUUGUAUGUUUUGAAGUAACUAGGAUUUGAUGAACGCUUAUGAC